rnacentral:rRNA from 1 species
GACGAACGCUGGCGGCGUGCCUAAUACAUGCAAGUAGAACGCUGAAGAGAGGAGCUUGCUCUUCUUGGAUGAGUUGCGAACGGGUGAGUAACGCGUAGGUAACCUGCCUUGUAGCGGGGGAUAACUAUUGGAAACGAUAGCUAAUACCGCAUAACAAUGGAUGACACAUGUCAUUUAUUUGAAAGGGGCAAUUGCUCCACUACAAGAUGGACCUGCGUUGUAUUAGCUAGUAGGUGAGGUAAUGGCUCACCUAGGCGACGAUACAUAGCCGACCUGAGAGGGUGGGCGGCCACACUGGGACUGUGACACGGCCCAGACUCCUACGGGAGGCAGCAGUAGGGAAUCUUCGGCAAUGGGGGCAACCCUGACCGAGCAACGCCGCGUGAGUGAAGAAGGUUUUCGGAUCGUAAAGCUCUGUUGUAAGUCAAGAACGGGUGUGAGAGUGGAAAGUUCACACUGUGACGGUAGCUUACCAGAAAGGGACGGCUAACUACGUG